rnacentral:rRNA from 1 species
AUUGAACGCUGGCGGCAGGCCUAACACAUGCAAGUCGAGCGGAUGAACGGAGCUUGCUCCUGGAUUCAGCGGCGGACGGGCGAGUAAUGCCUAGGAAUCUGCCUGGUCGUGGGGGAUAACGUCCGGUAACGGGCGCUAAUACAGCAUACGUCCUGAUGGAGAACCUGGGGGAUCUUCGGACCUCACGCUAUCAGCUGAGCCUAGGUCGGAGUAGCUAGUUGGUGGGGUAAAGGCCUACCAAGGCGACGAUCCGUAACUGGUCUGAGAGGAUGAUCAGUCACACUGGAACUGAGACACGGUCCAGACUCCUACGGGAGGCAGCAGUGGGGAAUAUUCGACAAUGGGCGAAAGCCUGAUCCAGCCAUGCCGCGUGUGUGAAGAAGGUCUUCGGAUUGUAAAGCACUUUAAGUUGGGAGGAAGAGAAGUAAGAUAAUACAUUGCUGUUUUGACGGUACCAACAGAAUAAGCACCGGCUAACUUCGUG